GCCCCCAUAGCCCAAUUGGCAGAGGCGGUGGACUUAAAAUCCAUACAGUGUCGGUUCGAGCCCGACUGGGGGCACAA
rnacentral:tRNA from 5 species